UACGGAGGAUGCGAGCGUUGUCCGGAUUUAUUGGGCGUAAAGCGAGCGCAGGUGGUUUAUUAAGUCUGGUGUAAAAGGCAGUGGCUCAACCAUUGUAUGCAUUGGAAACUGGUAGACUUGAGUGCAGAAGAGGAGAGUGGAACUCCAUGUGUAGCGGUGAAAUGCGUAGAUAUAUGGAAGAACACCAGUGGCGAAAGCGGCUCUCUGGUCUGUAACUGACGCUGAGGUUCGAAAGCGUGGGUAGCAAACAGG
rnacentral:rRNA from 1 species